rnacentral:rRNA from 1 species
AACGAACGCUGGCGGCAUGCCUCAAUACAUGCAAGUCGAACGAGAUCUUCGGCAUCUAGUGGCGCACGGGUGCGUAACGCGUGGGAAUCUGCCUUGGGUUCGGAAUAACUUCUGGAAACGGAAGCUAAUACCGGAUGAUGAGGUAAGUCCAAAGAUUUAUCGCCCAAGGGAUGAGCCCGCGUAGGAUUAGGUAGUUGGUGAGGUAAAGGCUCACCAAGCCGACGAUCCUUAGCUGGUCUGAGAGGAUGAUCAGCCACACUGGGACUGAGACACGGCCCAGACUCCUACGGGAGGCAGCAGUAGGGAAUAUUGGACAAUGGGCGAAAGCCUGAUCCAGCAAUGCCGCGUGAGUGAUGAAGGCCUUAGGGUUGUAAAGCUCUUUUACCCGGGAUGAUAAUGACAGUACCGGGAGAAUAAGCUCCGGCUAACUCCGUGCCAGCAGCCCGCGGUAAUACGGGAG